UUCUAAAAGAAAAAUACAGGUAAUUUGAAAAAUGUUUAAUUCAAUGAUAAAGAGCCUGCCCAAGAGUUUAAAAUACAAUAAAAACAAGAACGUACAUCAAUUGUUGAUCCCAUCUGAUGGCAGUCUGUCCUUGAGCAUAUAGCUAAAAGGAUUUUCUCUGUAUCAAGUGGCACAACUACGGUGGACAUUCUGGAAACCAGGACUCUCAUGUCUUCUGCUAGCAUGUCAAAAACUGUGAAGAGUCUGAAAUUUUACUCUACUUGCAAG
rnacentral:lncRNA from 10 species